AGUGGAUAGACCACAUUGCUAGCCCCUGAUGUGCUUAUACUUUAGUUUGGAACAGAUUAAUUCAAAUAGUCUGUGCAGAGUUCUUACCUGCAGAGGAUCCUGUGGAGCACAUAAAAGGAGGUUUGGAGAUUUCCUGGAGGAAGUGAGAACCAAGUCUUAAAGGAUGAACAGGAGUAGCCAGGCCCAGAGCAGGGGGAUGUGGUAGGAGGAGUCAGGUGAGCCGAGGCAAAGAGGUGAAAGAUGGCAAGCUGUGGGCAAGAGCAGUGGUUAGUGCAGGUACCUUCCAACCCGUGGCAUUCAGUAGGGAGAGUGGGAGAGAAGGUUGGGGACUGGAAUUGGACCAGUUCUGAGAGGGCUUUGCGUGGUUUUCUGAAGAGCUUGAACAUUU
rnacentral:lncRNA from 1 species